GACCCCGCUCGCACUGCAGCCGGCGGGAGGGAAAGGUCCGGUGAAUUCGCAAGGUUCUGCUGCGAGCCCCCGGCAUCUGUGCGCGCGGCGGCGCAGACGGCUGGAGGUGUCCGGUGAGAAGCCGUAGAGUCCGCGGGUUGCGGAGGAUCGUGCGGGUAGCAAAGGGAGGGCGAGUGCUCCUGCGGCCCCCAGACGACAAGCAGCUUGCUGGGAUGGAGAUGACAAUAGCACAGUGGUGACCAUGUUUUGAAGAUGGCAGACUCUCUAGACAGAAGGUGCUGAGGCCCCUGAAUCAUCACUUAGAAGAGGGAAAUCCAACUAUUAACACCUAUUUUGGAAUACUUCAGGAGAAAGAAGUAAACUUGUAUUGUCUUAAAUCACAGAAUUUUUUUUCUGUUCCAGAAGCUAGCUUUAUCUUAACUAAUACAUGAGUGAGCACCAGCAUUCUUUAAAAAGCA